rnacentral:lncRNA from 1 species
CCAGUACUCCUGCAAAUGGGCCUGCCUGACCAGCUCUACAGCCUAGUGUGGUUCAUCAGCCCCAUCCUCGGAUUCUUGCUGCAGCCUCUGUUGGGUGCCUGGAGUGACCGAUGUACCUCAAGGUUUGGAAGGAGACGCCCUUUCAUUCUUGUCCUGGCCAUAGGUCUGUUGUUUGGCAUGGAAAGAAAGAAACAAAGAAGGAAGGGAGGAAGGGGCGGAGGAGAGAGAGGUUCACUUGUUUCCUUUUAGGAAAGUUGAAACAUUUUGAGCACAGGCAAUUCGCAGGACAAACCUUGCCUGAGUCAACACUGAGAAUAAAUCAUUUAGCGUUGUUUGUUUGUUUGUCUUAAUAAGCUAAUAAAGUUCAUCUUGAACUUGCUCAGUUUGAUAGGAUAAAAUCCCUGACUGUAGGCGACUCCUACAGGCUCCUCUUUAAAAUAAACAAACAAAAAAAAAGAGAA